rnacentral:ncRNA from 1 species
CACAAGCUUGGUCCUGGCUUUACUGUCAGCUUUGAUUAAAUUUAUACAUGCAAGUCUCCGCACCCCUGUGAGAAUGCCCUACCUAUGCCCCACAUCUGGUAAAAAGGAGCCGGUAUCAGGCACAACCCUAGUUAGCCCACGACACCUUGCUUAGCCACACCCCCAUGGGAACCCAGCAGUAAUAAACAUUAAGCCAUAAGUGUAAACUUGACUUAGUUAAUAUCAUAAAGGGCCGGUUAAACUCGUGCCAGCCACCGCGGUUAUACGAGAGGCCCAUGUUGACAAACAUCGGCGUAAAGAGUGGUUAAUAGAAUCUUUAACUAAGGUCGAACAUCUUCAAGGCUGUUAUACGCAUCCGAAGGCAGGAAGCCCUCCUACGAAAGUGACCUUAACUAGUAUGACCCCACGAAAGCUAGGGAACAAACUGGGAUUAGAUACCCCACUAUGCCUAGCCCCAAACAUAAAUUAAACUUUUUACACUUUAUAUUCGCCAGGGAACAACGAGCCCCAGCUUAAAACCCAAAGGACUUGGCGGUGCUUUAGACCCCCCUAGAGGAGCCUGUUCUAGAACCGAUACUCCCCGUUCAACCUCACCCUCUCUUGUUUUCCCCGCCUAUAUACCGCCGUCGUCAGCUUACCCUAUGAAGGAACCACCGUAAGCAAAAUUGGCAUAGCCCAAAACGUCAGGUCGAGGUGUAGCGUACGAGAGGGGAAGAAAUGGGCUACAUUUACUGUACCAGUAAACACGAACCAUGUAAUGAAAUAUACAUAUGAAGGAGGAUUUAGCAGUAAGGGAGGAAUAGAGAGCCCCCCUGAAAAUGGCCCUGAAGCGCGCACACACCGCCCGUCACUCUCCCCGAUAACUCACCGCAAAUAACUAAUGCCUAAUCAAACUAUAAGGGGAGGCAAGUCGUAACAUGGUAAGUGUACCGGAAGGUGCACUUGGAAAAAC